rnacentral:rRNA from 1 species
UGGGGAAUAUUGGUCAAUGGACGAGAGUCUGAACCAGCCAAGUAGCGUGAAGGAUGACUGCCCUAUGGGUUGUAAACUUCUUUUAUAUGGGAAUAAAGUGAGCCACGUGUGGCUUUUUGUAUGUACCAUACGAAUAAGGAUCGGCUAACUCCGUGCCAGCAGCCGCGGUAAUACGGAGGAUCCGAGCGUUAUCCGGAUUUAUUGGGUUUAAAGGGAGCGUAGGCGGAUUAUUAAGUCAGUUGUGAAAGUUUGCGGCUCAACCGUAAAAUUGCAGUUGAUACUGGUAGUCUUGAGUGCAGCAGAGGUAGGCGGAAUUCGUGGUGUAGCGGUGAAAUGCUUAGAUAUCACGAAGAACUCCGAUUGCGAAGGCAGCUUACUGGACUGUAACUGACGCUGAUGCUCGAAAGUGUGGGUAUCAAACAGG